GAUGAAGAACGCAGCGAAAUGCGAUAAGUAAUGUGAAUUGCAGAAUUCAGUGAAUCAUCGAAUCUUUGAACGCAUCUUGCGCUCCUUGGUAUUCUGAGGAGCAUGCCUGUUUGAGUGUCAUUAAAUUCUCAACUACACUGACUUUGAAUUGGUGUGGCUUGGAUUUGGGGGGGAAAAUUGUUGUGGGCUUUUUGUAUAGUCUGCUCCCCUGAAAUUGAUUAGCGGUACCUUUGUGGAACUGUCUACAGGUGUGAUAAUUAUCUACAUCCUAGACAUCUGCUGGAAUGCUGCUUUCUAAACCUUACUUGUAUUGACAAUCUUGACCUCAAAUCAGGUAAGACUACCCGCUGAACUUAAGCAUAUCAAUAAGCGGAGGA
rnacentral:misc_RNA from 1 species